GAUGAAGAACGCAGCGAAAUGCGAUAAUUAAUGUGAAUUGCAGAAUUCAGUGAAUCAUCGAGUCUUUGAACGCACAUUGCGCCCCCUGGUAUUCCGGGGGGCAUGCCUGUCCGAGCGUCAUUGCUGCCCUCAAGCACGGCUUGUGUGUUGGGCCCCGCCCCCCGGCUCCCGGGGGGCGGGCCCGAAAGGCAGCGGCGGCACCGCGUCCGGUCCUCGAGCGUAUGGGGCUUCGUCACCCGCUCCGUAGGCCCGGCCGGCGCCCGCCGGCGACCCCCCUCAAUCUUUUCAGGUUGACCUCGGAUCAGGUAGGGAUACCCGCUGAACUUAAGCAUAUCAAUAAGCGGAGGA
rnacentral:misc_RNA from 1 species